UUCUCCCCUCUUUCUGCGUGCCUACUCCAUGCAAGUCGAGCGAACAGAUGAGGAGCUUGCUCCUCUGACGUUAGCGGCGGACGGGUGAGUAACACGUGGAUAACCUACCUAUAAGACUGGGAUAACUUCGGGAAACCGGAGCUACUACCGGAUAAUAUAUUUAACCGCAUGGUUCAAUAGUGAAAGACGGUUUUGCUGUCACUUAUAGAUGGAUCCGCGCCGCAUUAGCUAGUUGGUAAGGUAACGGCUUACCAAGGCAACGAUGCGUAGCCGACCUGAGAGGGUGAUCGGCCACACUGGAACUGAGACACGGUCCAGACUCCUACGGGAGGCAGCAGUAGGGAAUCUUCCGCAAUGGGCGAAAGCCUGACGGAGCAACGCCGCGUGAGUGAUGAAGGUCUUCGGAUCGUAAAACUCUGUUAUUAGGGAAGAACAAAUGUGUAAGUAACUAUGCACGUCUUGACGGUACCUAAUCAGAAAGCCACGGCUAACUACGUG
rnacentral:rRNA from 1 species